rnacentral:rRNA from 1 species
UACAUGUGGGGCAAGCGUUGUUCGGAAUUACUGGGCAUAAAGGGUGCGUAGGCGGCUUGUUAAGUCAGAGGUGAAAUCCUGGAGCUCAACUCCAGAACUGCCUUUGAUACUGAAAGUCUUGAGUAUGGGAGAGGUGAGUGGAACUGCGAGUGUAGAGGUGAAAUUCGUAGAUAUUCGCAAGAACACCAGUGGCGAAGGCGGCUCACUGGCCCAUAACGUGACGCUGAGGCACGAAAGCGUGGGGAGCAAACAGGG